GAUGAACGCUGGCGGCGUGCCUAAUACAUGCAAGUCGAGCGAACGGACGAGAAGCUUGCUUCUCUGAUGUUAGCGGCGGACGGGUGAGUAACACGUGGAUAACCUACCUAUAAGACUGGGAUAACUUCGGGAAACCGGAGCUAAUACCGGAUAAUAUUUUGAACCGCAUGGUUCAAAAGUGAAAGACGGUCUUGCUGUCACUUAUAGAUGGAUCCGCGCUGCAUUAGCUAGUUGGUAAGGUAACGGCUUACCAAGGCAACGAUGCAUAGCCGACCUGAGAGGGUGAUCGGCCACACUGGAACUGAGACACGGUCCAGACUCCUACGGGAGGCAGCAGUAGAGAAUCUUCCGCAAUGGGCGAAAGCCUGACGGAGCAACGCCGCGUGAGUGAUGAAGGUCUUCGGAUCGUAAAACUCUGUUAUUAGGGAAGAACAUAUGUGUAAGUAACUGUGCACAUCUUGACGGUACCUAAUCAGAAAGCCACGGCUAACUACGUGCCAGCAGCCGCGGUAAUACGUAGGUGGCAAGCGUUAUCCGGAAUUAUUGGGCGUAAAGCGCGCGUAGGCGGUUUUUUAAGUCUGAUGUGAAAGCCCACGGCUCAACCGUGGAGGGUCAUUGGAAACUGGAAAACUUGAGUGCAGAAGAGGAAAGUGGAAUUCCAUGUGUAGCGGUGAAAUGCGCAGAGAUAUGGAGGAACACCAGUGGCGAAGGCGACUUUCUGGUCUGUAACUGACGCUGAUGUGCGAAAGCGUGGGGAUCAAACAGGAUUAGAUACCCUGGUAGUCCACGCCGUAAACGAUGAGUGCUAAGUGUUAGGGGGUUUCCGCCCCUUAGUGCUGCAGCUAACGCAUUAAGCACUCCGCCUGGGGAGUACGACCGCAAGGUUGAAACUCAAAGGAAUUGACGGGGACCCGCACAAGCGGUGGAGCAUGUGGUUUAAUUCGAAGCAACGCGAAGAACCUUACCAAAUCUUGACAUCCUUUGACAACUCUAGAGAUAGAGCCUUCCCCUUCGGGGGGCAAAGUGACAGGUGGUGCAUGGUUGUCGUCAGCUCGUGUCGUGAGAUGUUGGGUUAAGUCCCGCAACGAGCGCAACCCUUAAGCUUAGUUGCCAUCAUUAAGUUGGGCACUCUAAGUUGACUGCCGGUGACAAACCGGAGGAAGGUGGGGAUGACGUCAAAUCAUCAUGCCCCUUAUGAUUUGGGCUACACACGUGCUACAAUGGACAAUACAAAGGGCAGCGAAACCGCGAGGUCAAGCAAAUCCCAUAAAGUUGUUCUCAGUUCGGAUUGUAGUCUGCAACUCGACUACAUGAAGCUGGAAUCGCUAGUAAUCGUAGAUCAGCAUGCUACGGUGAAUACGUUCCCGGGUCU
rnacentral:rRNA from 1 species